UUUUAACCGCUCUUCACCCCACACCUCUCAACAAUGGUGGAUAGGAUUUGAAGAGCAAACACCCUGAGCAACCCCGAAAGGAGAGAGCUAUGUCUUUUGAAUUACCUGCAUUACCUUAC
rnacentral:sRNA from 1 species